rnacentral:rRNA from 1 species
UUCGAUGCAACGCGAAAACCUUACCACCUUGACAUGUACGGAAGCCUUUAGAGAUAGAGGCGUGCUCGAAAGAGAGCCGUAACACAGGUGCCGCAUGGCUGUCGUCAGCUCGUGUCGUGAGAUGUUGGGUUAAGUCCCGCAACGAGCGCAACCCUUGUCAUUAGUUGCUACAUUCAGUUGGGCACUCUAAUGAGACUGCCGGUGACAAGCCGGAGGAAGGUGGGGAUGACGUCAAGUCCUCAUGGCCCUUAUAGGUGGGGCUACACACGUCAUACAAUGGCUGGUACAAAGGGUUGCCAACCCGCGAGGGGGAGCUAAUCCCAUAAAGCCAGUCGUAGUCCGGAUCGUAGUCUGCAACUCGACUACGUGAAGUCGGAAUCGCUAGUAAUCGUGGAUCAGAAUGUCACGGUGAAUACGUUCCCGGGUCUU